GACGAACGCUGGCGGCGUGCUUAACACAUGCAAGUCGAACGGUAAGGCCCUUCGGGGUACACGAGUGGCGAACGGGUGAGUAACACGUGGGUGAUCUGCCCUGCACUUCGGGGUAAGGCUGGGAAACUGGGUCUAAUACCGGAUAGGACUCCGGACUGCAAGGUCUGGGGUGGAAAGCUUUUGCGGUGUGGGAUGGGCCCGCGGCCUAUGAGGUUGUUGGUGGGGUGACGGCCUACCAAGGCGACGACGGGCAGCCGGCCUGGGAGCGUGACCAGCCACCAUGGGACUGAGAGACGGACCAGGCUCCUACAUGAGGCAGCGGGCGGGAAUCUUGCGCAGCGGGCGCAAGUCUGAUGCAGCGGCGCCGCGUGAGGGAUGACGUCCUUCGGGUUAGAAACCUCUUACAGCACAUACGAAGGGCGAGUGACGGUAUGUGCAGAAGAAGGACCGGCCAACUACGUGCCAGCCGCCGCAGUAA
rnacentral:rRNA from 1 species